rnacentral:tRNA from 3 species
AGUAAGGUCAGCUAACAAAGCUAUCGGGCCCAUACCCCGAAAAUGAAGGUCUAACCCCCUCCCUUACUA